rnacentral:rRNA from 1 species
CACGUAGUUAGCCGGUGCUUAUUCUUCAGGUACCGUCAUUAGCCGAAGGUAUUAACCUCAGCCGUUUCUUCCCUGACAAAAGAGCUUUACAACCCGAAGGCCUUCUUCACUCACGCGGCAUUGCUGGAUCAGGCUUGCGCCCAUUGUCCAAAAUUCCCCACUGCUGCCUCCCGUAGGAGUCUGGACCGUGUCUCAGUUCCAGUGUGGCUGGUCGUCCUCUCAGACCAGCUACUGAUCGUCGCCUUGGUGAGCCUUUACCCCACCAACUAGCUAAUCAGACAUCGGCCGCUCCAAAAGCAUGAGGCCCGAAGGUCCCCCACUUUCUUCCGUAGAACGUAUGCGGUAUUAGCGCAACUUUCGCUGCGUUAUCCCCCAUUCUGGGUACGUUCCGAUGUAUUACUCACCCGUUCGCCACUCGCCACCAGGCCGAAGCCCCGUGCUGCCGUUCGACUUGCAUGUGUAAAGCAUGCCGCCAGCGUUCAAUCUGAGCCAGGAUCAAACUCUACG